GGAAUUUCUUAUUAACAAGUGCUUACAAAGUGUGAAUUGUAUAUCAUUGUCAUCUUGCAACUAAGAACAACAUCGACCUCCUCAUUAUUUCCUUGUUUGUACAUGAAAUUAACUACAAUUUGGCCCACCAACUAAUCUUUUAUUUUGCUGAUCCACUUUCUCUUCUAUAUACUAUUCACAUUUCUCUUCCUUGAAACGAUGAUUAUUGCACCAAUCAGUUCCAAGAAAUGAACCCAAAUUGUCUUGCCUCUCGCGAAGAAACUGAAACUACUCCAUCGUAUACAAGAAUCUGUGCCCACCCUACUUGUAUAUAAUCUCCACUUCGCAAUACUUAUUGCAGAUUCAUCACUUCAACAAUAAAGAAAGAAAUAGUAUAUAUAUAGAAAGGAACAAGAUAAAAGUAUAUGGCUGAAAAAGACAAGUUUCAGAGAAUUUGCAAAAAGAUGUAUGCCCAAAAUUUCCUAGGACAUUCUUGGGUUGGGGUAGCU
rnacentral:misc_RNA from 1 species